UUCCCCUUCCUCAGUUUAAACCAAAACCCUAAAUCUUGAAAUCAUUUCUUUCUUCUUCUGCCUCACUGCGCCAACAUGACCUCCCCACGAUGGCUUUUUUGCGUUUUCCUGGUUGAGUUCCGAGUUCAGCUCAAUUCUUCUCUUACUUGUCUAUUCUGUAUCCAUACUCUCAUGGCUAUUCGCAAUGUUCUCAACGGAAAAUUCCUCAACCGGAGCUAGGCUCAUGUCUUCGUGGUUCAGAAACAUCGAACAGGAUCCCAAGGUCCAAUCCUCGGAGUCAACGAAGCUUUUCUAGCUGAUCAGAGCCAAACGAAAUCAAUGUCGGGGUAGGUGCCUAUCGUGAUGACAAUGGAAAGCCAGUGGUUUUGGGAUGUGUUAGAGAAGCAGAGAAGAGAAUUGCAGGAAACCAAUUCAUGGACUGUAUAAAAGAUCCGAAAGCCUAAGCCUUGGAAGCAUCCUCAGCCUAUAACAAGGACUCAGCUAAUACAACUGCGCGAUGAGUUUCGGGACACAGCUCCUCACUAUGGUGGACGGAAAGAGAUUUGGGACGCUCUUCGAGCUGCAGCAGAAGCUGAUCUUUCUUUGGCACAGGCAAUUGUGGAUAGUGCCGGGUCAUUGUCCAGAGUUUUGAUUUGAUAGUAUGCUAUGAUAAUCAAUGGUAUAUUCAUCAUGUAUGUAUUGAUAAUUCCACAUCAAAAGUGUAUGGAUUUAUGGACCCUGCUAUGUUGAAUAUUGUCUCUGUCAAAUAUAACUGAAUCUUGGAUGCAGGUAUUUGAUGAUCCUACAGAAUUAACACAAGAAGAUUUGUAUGAUUUGCGACUCUGUUGGGCAAAAUGUUUCUUUGAGUUAUAUAAAGAAUAACUUUAUGUUUCUCGUGGAUGUAUUGCAUGUUGGUUUUUCAAGUGCGCGAAAGGACUUAAAUGGUUGGAUAUUUGUUGUGUUGUUAUCUUGUGUAUCCUAGAUUAAUACUUUUUGUUUAUUUUGACGAAUAUAUAUGAAAAAUGUGUGCUGUGGGAAAAAUGUGUAAAAUAGCAACAUAGUUUUGG